CCAGCAAGAAAGAGGAGAUUUCCCCCUGUCUGGGAACAUUUUGAGCUAAUCUCUCCUAAUAAGGUGUGUACAUAGUAAUAAUUAGGGCACUAAAAAAAUGUGACAACACAGACUAUACCUUGUCUAAUGUAUUUCUUUUUAAAAGGUGAAGUUUCUGUUGUGUUGAAACGAACUUAGAUACAACAAUAACACCUCAUCUUUGCUGAGGCAUUAUAGAGCCCUACUUGAAAACAAGGAGACCAACCAAUGUGGACCAAGCUCAGGUAAGCCAUUUUAGGAUGCAAUGAUAAGACAUCUUUUAAACACACAAUUAAAUGGUAAGUUUGUAAUACACAUUAACUUAUAUUUCAAGUGUGACUAAUUAAUAGCAUCUGUAAUUGAAUAUUGCCCUUUGUUGUCAUCGGGAGAGAAGAAUGAUGUGGAUGAGGCCCUGGUCAAUAUGGUAAUUGAGGAUUCCCAGCCCUUCACCAUUGUGGAGGACAAAGGGUUCAGAAAGCUUGUUAAAGCUUUGAACCCUACCAAUCUUCUCCCCACAAGACAGGCUUUGAAAGCUAUGGUGGAGGACUGGUACAAGGAAUCCAAGGAGAAAGCCAAAGCCAUUGUGUUGAAGGCAUCUGCAGGCAGGUUGAUAUCAGAUUGGUGGACAUCCAUCAACACUGAUGCAUAUUUAGCUGUAAUGUGUCAUUUUACAGAUGCAAGCACCUCUUUGCAGUUUGUUGUUUUAGGGGUGCUGGAUUUACCUCAGGCACACACUGCUGAAAAUUUGGCAAGACUAAAAACAGCACUGAUGUCAGAGUGGGGUAUUACAAAUAAAGUUACAUGCCUUGUGACUGAUGGUGCAACAAAUAUGGAUGCUUGUGUCAAGGAGCUUUAUUUGCGUCACAAUUUGUGCGGCACAAAGUUUUAAUUAUGAAAAAGGCUCUUGACCAAAACCCUGUCUUAUCUGACAUCCGGGCAAACUCAAGGAAGAUAGUGGGCUAUUUCAAGAGAAGCACCACUGCCAAGGAAAGACUGACACAGGUGCAGAACCAAAUGGGCUGGCCAACCCUGAAGCUCAUUCAGGAGAUGGCUACACGCUGGAACAGCACAUACCACAUGCUUGAAUGCCUGUAUGACCUCUGUAGAGCAGCAUUGGUAGGCCUACGCACUGACAUUGCCCCACUGACAUUAGAACAGUAUCAAGUGGUAGCAGAAUGUCUUAAAGUGCUGUCACCAUUUAAUACUGCUACUGUUGAGCUGUCAGAGGAGAAGAGGGUGUCUGGAUCUAAAGUAAUCCGCCUAUUGUCAAUGUUGCACCAUGCACUGGGGGAGGAAAUUAUCCAAACUCCAGGGACCAAAGCAAUGGCUGUGAGUCUGAGGAGACAAUUGUACAAUUAACAAUUGAUGAGCAUCAUGUCACUGGCGACACUGCUUGAUCCCAGAUUAAAAAGGAUAGGCUUCUUUAGCCCAAAUAAAGCAGAAGAUACCGAGAAGAGGCUCACAUCUGAAUGUGUUGCAGGUAUGCGAAGCAGUGAGACUUCAUCUUCCUCCUCCCCCUCCUCCUCAUCAUCACAAGAAGCUUCACAGCCUUUGACUCAAGGUCAGGAUACAUUCUAAUUAUGUUUUUGUAUUUAGUCACACAGCCUGAUUUAGGUAGCAAACUGUGGUAUUGGUUGGGCACCACAGUCCUGCAGACAAGGACCCAAAAUCUGACAGCAGAUGCAACAGUGGAGGUGCACAUGUACCUGGGGGAAGCGAACAUCGGAAGACUGGAGAACCCCCUAGAGUAUCGGAAAAAACACAAAAAUGUUUAUCCAAACUUCUAGAAGCUUGCAGUUGCUUUUCUCUAUACCCCGGCCUCAUCUCUACCCUGUGAAAGGGUAUUUUCAAAAGCAGGCGAAAUUGUCUCGAAAAGAAGAAACCCCUGAAGCCCAACACUGGAGAAAUUGUUGUUUUAAGAUAAAAAUUAAUAAAAUGUUAUCCCUG